rnacentral:rRNA from 1 species
ACUCCUACGGGAGGCAGCAGUGGGGAAUAUUGCACAAUGGGGGAAACCCUGAUGCAGCCAUGCCGCGUGUGUGAAGAAGGCCUUCGGGUUGUAAAGCACUUUCAGUAGGGAGGAAGGUAGUGUAGUUAACACCUGCACUAUUUGACGUUACCUACAGAAGAAGCACCGGCUAACUCCGUGCCAGCAGCCGCGGUAAUACGGAGGGUGCGAGCGUUAAUCGGAAUUACUGGGCGUAAAGCGCAUGCAGGCGGCCUGUUAAGUCAGAUGUGAAAGCCCGGGGCUCAACCUCGGAAUUGCAUUUGAAACUGGCAGACUAGAGUACUGUAGAGGGGGGUAGAAUUUCAGGUGUAGCGGUGAAAUGCGUAGAGAUCUGAAGGAAUACCGGUGGCGAAGGCGGCCCCCUGGACAGAUACUGACACUCAGAUGCGAAAGCGUGGGGAGCAAACAGGAUUAGAUA